rnacentral:rRNA from 1 species
UACAGAGGUGGCAAGCGUUGUUCGGAAUUACUGGGCGUAAAGGGCGCGUAGGCGGUUCGAUAAGUCCCGUGUGAAAUCCCUCGGCUCAACUGAGGAACUGCACGGGAAACUGACGGGCUUGAGUUCGGGAGAGGGAAGCGGAAUUCCGGGUGUAGCGGUGAAAUGCGUAGAUAUCCGGAGGAACACCGGUGGCGAAGGCGGCUUCCUGGACCGACACUGACGCUGAGGCGCGAAAGCCAGGGGAGCAAACGGGAUUAAGAA